AACGAGACCUUAACCUACUAAAUAGUGGUGCUAGCAUUUGCUGGUUAUCCACUUCUUAGAGGGACUAUCGGUUUCAAGCCGAUGGAAGUUUGAGGCAAUAACAGGUCUGUGAUGCCCUUAGACGUUCUGGGCCGCACGCGCGCUACACUGACGGAGCCAGCGAGUCUAACCUUGGCCGAGAGGUCUUGGUAAUCUUGUGAAACUCCGUCGUGCUGGGGAUAGAGCAUUGUAAUUAUUGCUCUUCAACGAGGAAUUCCUAGUAAGC
rnacentral:rRNA from 1 species